GAUGAACGCUAGCGGCAGGCUUAACACAUGCAAGUCGAGGGGUAUAGUUCUUCGGAAUUAGAGACCGGCGCACGGGUGCGUAACGCGUAUGCAAUCUACCUUUCACAGAGGGAUAGCCCCAGAGAAAUUUGGAUUAAUACCUCAUAGUAUAGCAGUUUCGCAUGAAGCCACUAUUAAAGUCACAACGGUGAAAGAUGAGCAUGCGUCCCAUUAGCUAGUUGGUAAGGUAACGGCUUACCAAGGCAACGAUGGGGUAGGGUACCGUGAGAGGGAGAUCCCCCCACACUGGUACUGAGACACGGACCAGACUCCU
rnacentral:rRNA from 1 species